rnacentral:rRNA from 1 species
AUGCGAGCAAUCGUGAUAAGGGAACUCCGAGUGCCCGUAAAAUCGGGCUGUCCGCCAGUUUAAAUAACUGUGAACAAAGGGCCGGGCAAGACCGGUGCCAGCCGCCGCGGUAAUACCGGCGGCUCGAGUGGUGGCCACUAUUACUGGGCUUAAAGCGUUCGUAGCUGGUCUG